rnacentral:rRNA from 1 species
CACGUAGGGCGCGAGCGUUGUCCGGAUUUAUUGGGCGUAAAGAGCUCGUAGGCGGCUCGUUGCGUCGGCUGUGAAAACCCGCAGCUCAACUGUGGGCUUGCAGCUGAUACGGGCGGGCUGGAGUUCGGUAGGGGAGACUGGAAUUCCUGGUGUAGCGGUGAAAUGCGCAGAUAUCAGGAGGAACACCGGUGGCGAAGGCGGGUCUCUGGGCCGAUACUGACGCUGAGGAGCGAAAGCGUGGGGAGCGAACAGG